GAUUAAAUGAGUCCCAUAAUGAUCCAUACAAGUUAGAGAAUCCGCAAACCUUUACAGAAUCUGGGGAAUCCCUGCCUGGAGGAUUCAAAAGUUGCUUCUCCCAAUUAUAAAAGCAUCUCUGGAAGAUUAUGGCGCCUAAGAAAGAGGGGCUGAUCCUGUGAAGUCAUGAUCACUCUCAGUUCCCUUAGAUGCUAAUGAGAGUUCAAAAUGCUCAGCACAUCUCUGUAGUAACUUGGCACUCCUGCAACUUCAUCCCAGGAGCAGUCCCAUUGAAACCAGGAGUCAGGGCAGAAGGGCUGGGACAUCGGAGGUUGAGCCAUACAUUUUGGUAGGAAACAAUUGAAAGAAACGAGCAGGUCUCAUGCCUUUGUGACUAGAAUCCCUUUUAACAAAUCAGAAUCUCGUAUUUUCACUCACUUAAAACAAACUGAAGAAUUCAAGUCUGACGUAAGAGGGAUAAAGGUGUGACCUCAACCAUCGAAUCCAUAGACUUCAGGACCAAAAAUAGUUUGCUUUUCUAUUCUUUUUCAAUAUUUAAACAUACAAUCCGUUCCCUGAAUUGAUCUGUUCUGCGACUGUCUUAGAAAGUCUCUCUGGAAUUGUAUAUUUUACCAAUCAAGAGGGCCUGAUUAACUGGCUAGGUAUACAGAAGGGACUGAGCUGAAUUUACCUACGUCCGCCCCUGAAGAAGGGGGGAGCAGAAGCAGAAGUGUGAAUUUCUAGUCUGUUCUUGGG